UCGUGGUAGGGGAGCGUUCUGUUUGCAGUGAAGCCAUAUCGUGAGGAGUGGUGGAGCGUACAGAAGCGAGAAUGCCGGCGUAAGUAACGAUAAAGGGUGAGAAUCCCUUUCACCAAUUGACUAAGGUUUCCUGGGCAAGGUUCGUCCUCCCAGGGUUAGUCGGGACCUAAGGCGAGGCCGACAGGCGUAGUCGAUGGACAGCAGGUUGAUAUUCCUGCACCCGAGCACGCAGUGAUGCAAUGACGAAAACGGCUAUGCUCACCUCCGAUUGGAAGUGGAGGGCAGAGCGUAGGAGUCGAUUCCUUGUUAAGUACGGGAAUCAUUAAGACAAAGACGUGCGGUAUGAAAGUCGCGAGACGAGUAAGAAACAGCAGACGCCGAUUUCCAAGAAAAGUUGCUAACGUUAAACGUGUUCGGCCCGUACCGAGAACGGACACACGUGGUCAAGGAGAAUAUCCUGAGGUGAGCGAGAUAACUGUUGUUAAGGAACUCUGCAAAAUAACUUCGUAAGUUAGCAAGAAGAAGUGCUCCAGCGAUGGAGCCGCAGCGAAUCGGCCCAAGCAACUGUUUACCAAAAACACAGCUCUAUGCUAAGUCGCAAGACGAUGUAUAUGGGGUGACGCCUGCCCGGUGCCGGAAGGUUAAAAGGAGAGGUUAGGAGCAAUCCGAAGCUUUGAAUUGAAGCCCCGGUGAACGGCGGCCGUAACUAUAACGGUCCUAAGGUAGCGAAAUUCCUUGUCAGGUAAGUUCUGACGUGCACGAAUGGUGUAAUAAUUUGGGCGCUGUCUCGACAGCAGACUCGGUGAAAUCUUAAUACCGGUGAAGAUGCCGGUUACCCGCGACUAGACGGAAAGACCCCAUGGAGCUUUACUAUAACUUAAUAUUGAGUAAAUGCGAAUCUUGUACAGUAUAGGUGGGAGACUUUGAAGUCGGGGCGUCAGCUUCGAUGGAGUCGCCGUUGGGAUACCACUCUGGAUUUGCAUUUAUUCUAACUCCUACCCUGGAUGGGCGGGAGGACAGUGUUAGGCGGGUAGUUUGGCUGGGGCGGCCGCCUCCCAAAUAGUAACGGAGGCGCCCUAAGGUACCCUCAGUAUGGUCGGAAAUCAUACGUAGAGCGCAAAUGCAUAAGGGUGCUUGACUGCAAGACCGACAAGUCGAGCAGGUACGAAAGUAGGGAUUAGUGACCAGGCGGUUUCAUUG
rnacentral:rRNA from 1 species